rnacentral:rRNA from 1 species
CAUGAAAAAAGCGAGGAGAGAAGAUCACCCUUUUCGCCGUCGAGUCGUAGGAAGACGAGGCAAAGGCACUGGCAAAGAAAAACACCGGAGGUAAUAACUGGUUAGAGAUGGAACUUUCAACUUUCCCUCGCACACGUAGGGGAGGUCGGUGUUCUUUUCUACGGAGGGAACGGAUCACGUUGAAGAACUUUCGAGAGGCCGCCGAAGUGAAGGACCGCGGAACGAGAAGAUAGCGACUAAGAAGGUGAUGACAGGCGCUGAGGUCUUGAGCAAAAUCAAAAUGAACGCGUUAAGACCUCUCCCCCGUAUUCAGCAAACACUAGUUCUGUCCCCUAGGUGUCACUCAUGAAGACUAGAAUGUUAGAAAAACAACCGGCACCAAUUGCAAAAGAAGACAAUCAAGAUAUAAUGACAUUUAACAACCCUCAUUAUCAGACUGAUGUGCACCAAUUAGCCGGGUCUAGCGGCGUUUUUUUGAGUUUUGUCCCCUACAUUACAUGUCCUAUCCAAAUCUCGAGCGACAUCCACAUCGUCCUUUCCGGCUCCCGUCUAAACGUCUCCCUCAUCCAGUCCCUCUCCCACGGCCACAGGUCUUCGUACCCGCCGUCGACUCACGUCUCACCUUCUAUUCGGCAUGCUUCUUCUGCCGUCAGCCGAUCGGCCGCCGAUUCGGCCGCUUAACGCGUCAGCUCAGCAACAACGAUCGGCACUAAAAGUAGCUGAGUUUUUAGAUCGGUUCCAAGAGUCCAACUAAUGGUGCGGACGAACAAGGAGUAUCAAUUUGUUUAAACCGAAUGUCUACGAGAAGAACGUACUAGCCAUCGACGCACAAACCUGUAAGUAGGUUUACGUACGGACUACGUAGUAGCGUCGAGAUACAAGUAGCAAACAAACGAACUUUGAAUAAGAUCAAUGGAUACGGUAGUUCGCGCGCACAACUCAAAACUCCUCCUCUAUAAGUAUUGUAAAAGGACGAUCGACUCUAAGGAACAAAACGUUACAAAAGGGUGAUUCGUCCCGGCCAGGACUCUAAAGACACCGGGGCCCGCUCUAAUCUUAGGCCGGGGGGUAUUACAUUUGUAGUUUUCUUUAAGUUAUAUACAUGAAGGAGGCAAGGAUUUAUAUCCAGAAAGAUCUCUAAAGUGUUCACUGAUUUAUGCCUCAUUUUACUUACUUAGAUGUGAGAUUUUAUACAGAUAUAUGUAGGCAUACACCAUCAGGUAUACACCGACACCACCGACACCACGCCCGCAGAGCCGCCGCGGGCUAGGUCUAGACUUCCGGAGGCAAAUGAAGUUGGUCCCAACGGAGGCUACCAAACCGCCGACCUCCACCCUCCACCGAGGCCUCUUUAGGCUCCGGUCGUCACGACCGGUGCUGCCGCCGCUGCGGGCUCCCGCGGCAUGGGAAGAACAUCCACGGCAGGUCCAACGGAGGAGGGGGAGAAGGAAGGUGAGUCGAGCAUACGGCCCGCUUUCGGGUUUAGGAACGGCCUAGCUCGCUGUCGCCGCGAGGCCCGCAACAGUGGGAGAACCCCCACAGCAAGCACCACUCGAACCCUACCUACACUACGAAACCAACGAAACGCCGCCAACCACCGCACCAGCCUCAAGCAGACCACCGCCACGCAACCGCGGGACGGCGGAUACACGAGUCGGAUCCUCAGGAAGAAGGUGCCACGAACCAGAAGUCGUCGGGACGGCCUGAGCCACCUCGCCACGAAGUAGGAUGAGGAACUACCGCCGCAUAGAGCCACCGCACCGCGUCACCUCUAUGCCGCAGGCUACACACCGCUACCUAAGCGCGUCCUCCUGCUUCAACAGACCACAGCACCACGCAGCUACCGACUCACCGGUCUGUUCCAUCUUCGGAGUUAUAAACGAGACUUCUGCCUGGACACCUUCCACCGCCGCUGCUGUGUGCUUACGCAGCUUGGCCAAACAUGGGAUCUGGGUCAUACACCGAGCCGACCCCGAAGGUCGAAAACUACAAUCCCAAUCCACUCACCAGACCCAUCACUGGGUCGAUCGUGGGGAAGUAGUAAAACUACAAUCCGAAUCUGCUCACCAGACCCAUCACCGGGUCGAUCUUUCGGAAGUAGUAAACCUAUCCUCAUCACCGUAUACAACGGUUCUACCGCCUAAGUCCGUAUAACAACAUUAUGAAACAUUCCAGGAGCUCUUAUUAGUUAUUUCACCGGCAUACGUAGAGGGUCUACGUCUCCGGCCCCCAGUUAGGAGGAAAAGAAUUUUUUUUCAUACACCAUCAGGUAAAUUUUAGAGAUUUUUCUGAAUAUAAAUUCUUGCUUACCUCAUAUACACUUAGGAAUCGUCAUUUGUGAACUUUAGGUAGGUUUUAGUUUAUUACUUAUAAAAAUGGAAUUUUAAAAGAAAAUUCUAAGGAUAUAGGUUUAUGCAACUACUUCUCCAUAGUUAUAGUCAGGGUAAGUGUAAAAUAGAUGUGCGUUUUUCAAUGAUUUGCUAAAUUGGAGAGUACCCUGUGAAAUGUUUGGAGUGUAGUGAAAAGGAGUUAUAUAUCGAGACAUGUUCUACGUGUACGAUAAAGGUCAUCCCGUUAUUGGUGUAUUCCAUCUCGAGCUCGUGUUUACCUGGGCAAUAGACCCGCCAAGCAAUACCGUAGCCCUAUGCUGCCCUAGGUGAGGUAACCGGUACAGUGCACGCGGCACUUGGGACCUGCCACCCGGUACAAUCACUGCCUCGAUCUUGCGGCACCUGCCUAGUUUCGUCUCGGCACCGUGUACUGCAAUACAGGAAGGGCUAGGUAGCGGGUCCUUUGAAGGAAAGACCAAUGGCCCUGUCCGUGACUCAUUUACGUCCCUACCACUCGAGCGAUCCCAACAGAGGAUGGAGGCGACGGACCUAAUCAGUGAACGCCUUCGCCGCCUCGAGUAGCCGCUAAGAGCACGCGCUAGUCCCGGCUAGCCUUGCCGGUUUUUAGCUCAAGGAAUACGUCCACUAAUUCUCCUGGUCGCACGACCUUCUCCACUUGCCGUCGCUAUAAGACUACGUCGGCGCUAUGAUGGGUCACAGCGCGGAUACCAACUCGACCCACGCUUACCGGUCUAGACAUGGGCGACUUCCCCGCCGCCCACCUCCGGCUCUUCCCAGUCUCGUGAUAAUCUGUCUAGUUGGGGUAUCGAGAACCCACCUUUUCUUCUCACUCCUAUCGAUGACGACACAGCCCUUCCUGCGGUACAGGAUUGGUCUGAUGACGAGACCUCUUCCGAUAGGGACCAAACGGUUAUUAGGACCCCUGUUACCGUAUCACGGUUGAAACCCAUCUUCGAAACUAAUACAAUAAACUUCGGAUGCUGAAGAUGUUGAACAUAAGCACCCUCUUUGCUAAACCGUAAUAUAUGCUUUUUCCUGUCCCCCUCCGCCCCCAACUCUUGUGAGUCAGCACGGCAACUCUUACGGGACGAGAGUAGUCCAACAACUCUAGGUUCCAGUUACCAACCAUGUAUCGUCUUGUGGCACUCCUCGUGUUGGUGAGGAGCAGAGGAUACAAACCUGUUUCUUAUGUGACUGGUAGCGGUGUUCGUGUAACUAAAUAUGUAAACUCUGGACCAUUUUAUCGUAGUACCAUUCAAAGAAACCUAGGUACCUCUUACACGGUAAGUGUCUUUCUCGGUAUUCCUUGAACACACCCUUUUAAUCGGCACUAGUCCGGCUCCUACUAAACUCCUUCUGAUACUUUCACAAACGCCUCGAACCAAGUUUCCUAGUCGUGAAGUGUAUAUCGCGCCUUCGACUGUUUCUCCCCUCCUAGUCGUCAGACUACAGCCGUUUACCUUAUCGGUUAACGUCAUGUGUAAGAAACCACUACAGUAUUGGAAGCUAUGCUGGAUGUCCUGUUUGUACAUAUUAUAAGGGAAACCGAACAAACAGCCGUACUUGUUGGUAAAAGUCUCGUAGCAUCGUAGCCAAAACCAAGCACUACUCUUCCAACUUUCGAAAAACCCAAAGUUCACUUAAAGACUCCUCGAACGUCGUGUAACAACCCGCCCGACCCGUCCGGUUUGACUCUAACGGAGCAGGGCACCCAACCGACAUUAUCCUCUUCCACGACGUUUCGACCCGCCCGGUACUGGCUACAUCGGAGAGACUUCGAGGCGACCACAUAGAUACGAAUUUCACCAUAUAAUUGAACACACCAAGACAAAAUGUCCCCUCUGGACAUUACUCUUGAUUGAACCGGUAUCUCUCUGUACGACCCUUCUAUAUAUGUUCUCGUUACAAGCUCGUUAAACCUGUAUAAGAUGUACUCACGCUACGAAUGCUCCAACUCCUCUAGUUCUUUCCCUUCGACAUGCGAUGGUACGUGUGACUUCGUCUUUCCUCUCUCUUUACCACACCCCAGAGUAUAUUUCACACGAGUCACCUCCUCUCCUCACACUCACAUCAGUUAAGCGAGUGUACCCUCAUGAGAUGUCAGUACACGACUUCCAUGACCUGAAGUAGGCGUAAUUCCUUUAAGGCGUCUUCGUGUAUCACUUCUCUCCGGGUGCAGUAGAAUGCGUGAUGGUCUUUCUAGUACGGGUGUCUUUAGGAAAAUCGAUACCUGUAAAGUUAUACAUAUACGUACGGUACCUCGGGACAGGCAAACCCACUGUGUUCACAACUCCGAAUACUGGCAGACUAAAGAGAAAAGUUCUUGACGUACCACCUUUACGUUCGAAAACACCUCUAAUCCUUACCCGAACCUGACCUUCUGUCAUAAGACUUUUGCCACUACAACACUUAGUUUAAGUCUGACUUCCCCGUGAACAGUAACGACCCUUGUCUCCUAUUUUAUCGGAACCGUUGCUACUACAAUUAAGUUAUUUACUCAGACCCUUAUCUAACCGUCCUGAAAACGGUGGCUGUUUCUCCUUCCUCUACCCGUCCGGACGCUGGUCGUCAUCCUUCACGGAAUACUUCCCAACUACUUCUCCUGGUACAAAACGUGAUGAACGGCCGCUGUCCCUUUGUUUUUCUGAUGCAUGGGUUUGGCGCCUCUACACGGUAUCGUCCGAUCUUCUGGCGGGCUACGUUCUUGACACCUCAGCUUCCGGUGGCCAUCUUGUUAACGUUGUUUCGUCGCCUCGAUACAGACUUUCUCUCAACUGACUUUUUCAUCCCUACAUGGACCCUGUUAUGGACGUACCAAUCCUAUUUACCAAAUACACAUACUGUUAAACGUCUAUUACGUCUGACAAACAACAUCGAACACAGGAGUACGACUUCGACGUUUAAAGGAAACGCACACAACUAUGUUCACACAGACUUACAUAAAGAAACUAUGAAGGACUCACCUUGAUCAGACUUAUUUAUCUAACACCAGGCUUAUUUGACAUGACUUAGACAACACUCAACCAAACCCAAAACUAGACCCUUAAUACUACACCCACCCGCAACUAACAAGAUGGAGGUCUUAAUACAAAAACCAUGACAGAAUCUCAAACAACCCAUUUAACUUUCUAACAUGAACAUCGACUUACCAAGGUUG